CCCGUAGAUGUUCUGGGCCGCACGCGCGCUACACUGAUGCAUUCAACGAGCCUAUCCUUGACCGACAGGUCCGGGUAAUCUUUGAAUCUGCAUCGUGACGGGGAUAGAUUAUUGCAAUUAUUAAUCUUCAACGAGGAAUGCCUAGUAGGCGCAAGUCAUCAGCUUGCGUCGAUUACGUCCCUGCCCUUUGUACACACCGCCCGUCGCUCCUACCGAUUGGGUGUGCUGGUGAAAUGUUCGGAUCGGCCGUUUGUCGCGGUUUCCGCGUCAUGUGGCUGAGAAGUUCAUUAAACCCUCCCACCUAGAGGAAGGAGAAGUCGUAACA
rnacentral:rRNA from 1 species